rnacentral:rRNA from 1 species
GACGGAGGGUGCAAGCGUUAUUCGGAAUUAUUGGGCGUAAAGAGCGUGUAGGCGGCCGGUUAAGUCAGGUGUGAAAGCCCGGGGCUCAACUCCGGAAGGGCACUUGAAACUGGUCGGCUUGAGUUCGGGAGAGGGAAGCGGAAUUCCUGGUGUAGAGGUGAAAUUCGUAGAUAUCAGGAGGAACACCGGUGGCGAAGGCGGCUUCCUGGACCGAAACUGACGCUGAGACGCGAAAGCGUGGGGAGCAAACAGG